AACCUUCACAAUGUGCGAAAGCACGAUGAGGGAAUCCCAAGUGCCAGCUCGUAAGAGUUGGCUGUUUCUUUGUCUAAAACACAGAGAGAGUAAGGGCUGGGUAAGACGGGUGCCAGCCGCCGCGGUAAUACCUGCAGCUCAAGUGGUGGCCACUAUUAUUGGGCCUAAAACGUCCGUAGCCGGCUUAGUAAAUGCCUGGGUAAAUCGUGUAGCUUAACUAUACGAAUUCCGGGUAGACUGCUAAGCUUGAGACCGGGAGAGGCUAGAGGUACUCCUAGGGUAGAGGUGAAAUUCUGUAAUCCUAGGGGGACCACCAGUGGCGAAGGCGUCUAGCUAGAACGGGUCUGACGGUGAGGGACGAAGCCCUGGGGCGCAAACCGGAUUAGAUACCCGGGUAGUCCAGGGUGUAAACGCUGCUUGCUUGAUGUUAGUUGGGCUCCGAGCCCGAUUAGUGUCGGAGAGAAGUUGUUAAGCAAGCUGCCUGGAAGUACGUCGCAAGACU
rnacentral:rRNA from 1 species